rnacentral:rRNA from 1 species
UACGAAGGGUGCAAGCGUUACUCGGAAUUACUGGGCGUAAAGCGUGCGCAGGCGGUUUGUUAAGUCUGUUGUGAAAUCCCCGAGCUCAACUUGGGAAUUGCAAUGGAUACUGGCAGGCUGGAGUAUGGUAGAGGAAGGUGGAAUUCCCGGUGUAGCAGUGAAAUGCGUAGAGAUCGGGAGGAACACCAGUGGCGAAGGCGGCCUUCUGGACCAAUACUGACGCUCAUGCACGAAAGCGUGGGGAGCAAACAGG